rnacentral:rRNA from 1 species
GACGGAGGAUGCAAGCGUUAUCCGGAAUUAUUGGGCGUAAAGCGUCCGCAGGUGGCCUAUCAAGUCUGCUGUCAAAGACCGGGGCUUAACCCCAGAAAGGCAGUGGAAACUGAGAGGCUAGAGUAUGGUAGGGGCAGAGGGAAUUCCCAGUGUAGCGGUGAAAUGCGUAGAGAUUGGGAAGAACACCGGUGGCGAAAGCGCUCUGCUGGGCCAUUACUGACACUCAGGGACGAAAGCUAGGGGAGCGAAU